GCCUAGUUAGCUUAGUUGGUAGUGCGUCUGCCUUGUAAGCGCUAGGCCGCGGGUUCGAUUCCCGCCCGGAGCG
rfam:Asian citrus Psyllid, Diaphorina citri - Florida Strain, whole genome shotgun sequence.